GGGAUGUUAACUUAAUGGUAAAGUAUUAUAUUCUUAAUAUUAAUUAUAUUGGUUCAAAUCCGAUACAUUCCA